GGCCUCAUAGCUUCACUGGUAGAACAUGCGCGUACAAAGCGUAGGCGGCGUCCACGCGUGAGUUCGAAUCCCACCGAGGCUA
rnacentral:tRNA from 1 species